CUGUAUUUUAAUUUUGAGUUUGUUUUACUGGGGGUUUUUAAAGAGCCCAUGAACCUUGAGAAUCAUUCAUAAAUACCCCAAAAAGAUGAAAUUAUGGGUAGGUAUUUUGGUGUAUUUAAUCCAAAUGGUUAUUACAGCUCUUUUAUAUGCUGUGUUGCUGUUUAAUGUUCUGUUUUAUACUUCUUUUGCUGUAGCUGAGAAGGAAGGAGGGAGUCAUCUUCUCCCUUUGAGAACUGGGGAAUUUGGUGCCUGAAAUUACAGAAUCACAGAAUGUGCUGAGUUGCAAGGGACCCCCAGGGAUCACAGAGUCCAGCUCCUGGCCGUGCACAGGACCAUCAGCAAGAGACCAUCAUCAUAUCCUGUGCCCAAGAGUGAUGAGCACCUUGUGGCCUUUGGGUGCUUUAACUCCUCUGAAAGGAAAGAAGAAAUAAAAGAUGACCUUACAGUGGUUUAUUACUGUUUAUGCCAGUGUCUGGAUUCCAAACCACCUUGGAGCAGAAAGGCUGACAGCAUGCUCUGCUACACUCUAAAUUACUGCUCAGGAAGGAGCUCUUGGAGCCAUUUGGAAAGAGUUCUGGGACUGUUCAGGAGCUGUCAAAAAGGCAAGAAGAACCCUAAGAAUGAA